rnacentral:rRNA from 1 species
CUCCUCCAGGACAUCGCCCUCUUACCUAUGGACGUGGCCGACUCUCCGGACGCCAUCUCCUGGCGCCUAGAUCCCUCCGGCUGCUUCUCCACUAAAUCCCUCUACGCGGCUAUUGCCCCCUCGUCAGCCCCGGAGCCCUUCGGUCUGAUCUGGGACAUCCGCCUCCCCCUAAAGAUUCGGAUCUUUCUUUGGCAAUGGAUCCGCGGCCGCCUCCCGACCGGCGUUGAGGUUCUUAAGCGCCAUGGUCCUAGCGAUGGAAUGUGCCCC